GGAAGUAUGGCUCAGUGGUAGAGCGCAUGCUUAGCAUGCACGAGGUCCUGGGUUCAAUCCCCAGUACCUCCA
rnacentral:tRNA from 1 species